GACGAACGCUGGCGGCGUGCUUAACACAUGCAAGUCGAACGGAAAGGCCCGGCUUUUGUGGGGUGCUCGAGUGGCGAACGGGUGAGUAACACGUGAGUAACCUGCCCUUGACUUUGGGAUAACUUCAGGGAACUGGGGCGAAUACCGGGUAGGAGCUCCUGCUGCAUGGGGGGGGUUGGAGAGUUUCGGCGGUGGGGGAUGGACUCGCGGCUUAUGAGCUUGAUGGGGGGGUAGUGGCUUACCAGGGCUUUGAAGGGUAGCCGGCCUGAGAGGGGUAACGGCCACCUUGGGCCUGAGAUACGGACCAGACUGCUAUGGGAGGCAGUAGUGGGGAACAUUGCACAACGGGCGGAAGCCUGAUGCAGAAACGCCGCGUGCGGGAUGACGGCCUUCGGGUUGUAAACAGCUUUCGACUGUGAUGAAGCGUGAGUGACGGUACUGGGUAAAGAAGCACCGGCUAACUACGUG
rnacentral:rRNA from 1 species